rnacentral:rRNA from 1 species
GACCCGGUUAAAGCGGCGGACUGGUGAGUAACGCGUGGGUGAUCUGCCUUAAGGACGGGGAUAUGCCGUUAGAAAUAACGGAAUAAUACCGGAUAAGUUAGCCUUGCUAUGUGCACGUGGUUAGGAAAGAUGCUACGCGCAUCGCCUUGAGAUGAGCCCGCGUCCCAUUAGCUAGUUGGUGAGGUAAAAGCCCACCAAGGCGAAGAUGGGUAGCCGGCCUGAGAGGGUGAACGGCCACAUUGGGACUGAGAUACGGCCAAACUCCUACGGGAGGCAGCAGCUAAGAAUAUUCCGCACAUGGACGAAAGUCUGACGGAGCGACGCCGCGUGGAUGAGGAAGGCCGAAAGGUUGUAAAAUCCUUUUGCAGACGAACGAAUAACAUGUGGGAGGGAAUGCCCAUAUGAUGACGUUAGUCUGCGAAUAAGCCCCGAGCUAAUUAC